CUCUGUGACUCCUACGGGAGGCAGCAGUGGGAAUAUUGCACAAUGGGCGCAAGCCUGAUGCAGCAACGCCGCGUGAGCGAUGAAGGCCUUCGGGUCGUAAAGCUCUGUCCUCAAGGAAGAAUAAAUGACGGUACUUGAGGAGGAAGCCCCCGGCUAACUACGUGCCAGCAGCCGCGGUAAUACGUAGGGGCAAGCGUUAUCCGGAAUCACUGGGCGUAAAGGGUGCGUAGGCGGUUUUUCAAGUCAGAAGUGAAAGGCUAUGGCUCAACCAUAGUAAGCUUUUGAAACUGUUAAACUUGAGUGCAGGAGAGGAAAGUGGAAUUCCUAGUGUAGAGGUGAAAUUCGUAGAUAUUAGGAGGAACACCAGUGGCGAAGGCGACUUUCUGGACUGUAACUGACGCUGAGGCACGAAAGCGUGGGGAGCGAACAGGAUUAGAUACCCUGGUAG
rnacentral:rRNA from 1 species